GUAAGAAUAAAGCAAAAACAACUAAACGUAUUAUUUGUAUAAGUGGCACAAUAAAGUAGCCAUUAGUUAUUACAAUCUUUUCACAUUGAUUUAUGCCAUUGCUACCCCCACCCCAUGUAUUUGAACAUGGACGUUUCUUAUUCAUUAUUUAUUGUGCUUACGAUAUAAUUGAUAUCUAUUGAUAUUUGAUAACAAAAAUAUUUUGUUUAACUUUUGUUUGAUCAGUAUUUCAAAUUACCCUUCAAAAUUUAAUGUUACCAUGACUUGUGCACAUAUCAUGCUUCAAAUAAAUAAGGUAGAAAUCCAAAGUUUACAUAUGACAGGAACAAUAUACAUUGUCCGUUGCACAUUCUGCUCUUUACUACAUCAUUGACAGUUAAGAGUAUGUUGACAUGAACAUUAAUAUCUGUAAUGACGUCAAAAAGCAAGCAUUUGUUUAUAGUUUAACGUAGAGCAAAUGCGCCCAAGACGGCGGAACUCUUGCGCAAGCCGACAGCGAAGCUGUUAACAACUAUCUUCACGCAUUGAAAGGAUAUGGUAUAUCAGCUUGGAUCGGAUUGAAUGAUCUUGAAACUGAAAAUACAUUCAAAUGGAACGGAUCGCAACAACCUAUCAGUUAUACAAAUUGGAACACAAAUGAACCAAAUAAUGGCGCAUGAACUGGAGAGGAAGAUUGUGUUGAAAUGUCAGCCAAUUAGAAAUGGAAUGACUACUACUGUACUAGUCUAAAAUUCUAUUUCUGUCAACGUUCUCCGACAAUUGCGCCCUAAUGAGAUCAUAUAGACGAGGAAAAGGACAGUGAUGCACACUAUCAACGCCGGAAUAAACAUGAUAUACGAUAGAUAUGUCAACAUUGCAACGUUUUAAUUAUAUUAAUCAAGCAUAUACUUGUUGUUUGUUCUUAAUUUACCAUAUAACUGAGUAUGUACAGAGUUACCGAAGAUGAUGUAUGCUUUGCAUGCUCUAGUUUAUGUUCGAGUUUU